UGGGGAAUUUUGGACAAUGGGCGCAAGCCUGAUCCAGCCAUGCCGCGUGCGGGAAGAAGGCCUUCGGGUUGUAAACCGCUUUUGUCAGGGAAGAAAUCCUUUGAGCUAAUACCUCGGGGGGAUGACGGUACCUGAAGAAUAAGCACCGGCUAACUACGUGCCAGCAGCCGCGGUAAUACGUAGGGUGCAAGCGUUAAUCGGAAUUACUGGGCGUAAAGCGUGCGCAGGCGGUUAUGCAAGACAGAUGUGAAAUCCCCGGGCUCAACCUGGGAACUGCAUUUGUGACUGCAUAGCUAGAGUACGGUAGAGGGGGAUGGAAUUCCGCGUGUAGCAGUGAAAUGCGUAGAUAUGCGGAGGAACACCGAUGGCGAAGGCGACAUACUGGCUCAUUACUGACGCUGAGGCUCGAAAGCGUGGGGAGCAAACA
rnacentral:rRNA from 1 species